UACGAAGGGGGCUAGCGUUGCUCGGAAUCACUGGGCGUAAAGCGCACGUAGGCGGCUUUUUAAGUCAGGGGUGAAAUCCUGGGGCUCAACUCCAGAACUGCCUUUGAUACUGAGAAGCUUGAGUCCGGGAGAGGUGAGUGGAACUGCGAGUGUAGAGGUGAAAUUCGUAGAUAUUCGCAAGAACACCAGUGGCGAAGGCGGCUCACUGGCCCGGUACUGACGCUGAGGUGCGAAAGCCAGGGGAGCAAACGGG
rnacentral:rRNA from 1 species